rnacentral:rRNA from 1 species
AUUGAACGCUGGCGGAAUGCUUUACACAUGCAAGUCGAACGGUAGAGGGGCAACCCUUGAGAGUGGCGAACGGGUGAGUAAUGUAUCGGAACAUGCCCAGUCGUGGGGGAUAACGUAGCGAAAGUUACGCUAAUACCGCAUACGAUCUAUGGAUGAAAGCGGGGGAUCGCAAGACCUCGCGCGAUUGGAGUGGCCGAUAUCAGAUUAGGUAGUUGGUGGGGUAAAGGCCUACCAAGCCGACGAUCUGUAGCUGGUCUGAGAGGACGACCAGCCACACUGGGACUGAGACACGGCCCAGACUCCUACGGGAGGCAGCAGUGGGGAAUUUUGGACAAUGGGCGCAAGCCUGAUCCAGCCAUUCCGCGUGCAGGAAGAAGGCCUUCGGGUUGUAAACUGCUUUUGUACGGAACGAAACGGUGCUCUCUAAUACAGGGCGCUAAUGACGGUACCGUAAGAAUAAGCACCGGCUAACUACGUGCCAGCAGCCGCAGUAAAAC